UAUUGGUUGUUUCCCUGGAGAGCCGUGACUUGUACACACCCUGUUCUUAUUCUGUCACAAUGCCUGUUACAACAUCUCAGCACUGGCCAUUUAACUGCAUCUCCUACUGAGCUGGAAGCUCUGGUGGAUAGGGGCAGGUCUGCUCAUUCACUGCUGCCUUCCCUGCACCUGGUACCAUGCACACAGAAUAAGCCUAGCAGAAUGCCUGUGGAUGGACUGACCAAUGAAAGUAAUGAGGUGCUGGGACCCGAAGGCUGAGUGGCAUGAGUCAUGAGGAGGCAUAGGUGGAGUUGGAGGUGGGAGGAGGAUGAUGUAGCAAAGGGCCAGGCGGGUUCAGGCACGUUCCUGGCGGAAGGUGCUCUGAUGCUGUGGAAGACAGUUUCUUCAUGGAUUCCAACUGCUUGAUUUGUGGGAAUGACUCAACCAUGCCUGUUCUCCCCCACCUUUGAUGAGGCAUCUGACACUGAGUUAAUUCAUUUGCAUGGUGUAGACUAUAGUAAAUCCAGUGUUGGGACACUGUGUCAUCUUCUUUCUGAUUAUGAUGGUAACAAACGCUUGCCAUAGGAGACUGGAAAAAUCUAUCCUAUAGGAAUAUUGGAAAAUCUAUCCUGUAGGAAGAAAGAAAAAACUCACCUAAACUUGUACCACACACUGUCAAAUCUGGGCACUUUUCCUUCUUUUUGUCUUUUUCCCCCUAAAGCCACAGGCGUUUAAAAACAACCUGAGCAUGAGUCAGCCUGUCUGUCCACAUCUACAUACAUGUGAUCGAGGCCCUCAUCUUGCAGAUACAGAUCUAUUCUCUUGCAGAGACUCAACCUUGGACAAUAUCAUUGCUUUCCACUGCAAUAUUCAUUACUCCAUCAACAAAUUUUUAUUUUUUAUUCUUUUGAGACAAGGUCUCACCCUGUUUCACAGGCUGGAGUGCAGUGGUGCAAUCAUGGCUCACUACAACCCAAACUCCUGGGCUCAAGUGAUCCUCCUGCCUCAGCCUCCUUAGUAGCUGGGAUCACAAGUAUGCACCACCAUGCCCAGCUAAUUUUUUUUCUUUUUCUUUUUUUGUAAAGAUGGAGGCCUCGCUUUAUUGCUCAGGCUGGUCUCAAACUCCUGAGCUCAAGCAAUUCUCCCGCCUUGGCCUCCCAAAGUGCUGGGAUUAUAGGCGUGAGCCACUGUGUCCAGCCAGAAAGUUCUAUUUUGUAUAGCUAGCUUAACAAAACUGCUGCAGUGCUAGCCCCUAUUCUUAGUCUAUUGCCCAUCUGGCCUCCACUAUCUGGAAGAUAGACAGAAGAGCCCACAACCUUCUCCAGACAACAAAGAAACUGGCCGGUGAAAUCAUCAAGAGGCUAGCUGGCGUCUGGGGGGUGUGAGGGAGUGCAUUGCAUUAAUGAAGUCUUUUUAUUCUUGGAAAAGUGUUUGGACAAAGGCUGUGCUAUGCGUAUGGCGUCUCUGCAGCUCCUGGACAUAUGCUCUGACUGUGCUACUUCUGCACACGAAAGGUCAGCAUAUGGCUUCCUUUCUCUUUCCCCGAGGAAAGUGACAGGCUGGUCAUGGAUGCCUCACCUGCUGUUGCUCUCGCUCUGGAGAAAGAAGUGUUGGAGGCAUCACUGCCAGUAAAUCUUCACUGGGCUCCCAGCAGGCCUGGCCUAGCUUGACCCCUUCAUGGGUAACAGCAGAAGGCCACCUGCUGCUCCGCGGCUGAGCAACCAAACAGCACAGCUGCUGAGGUUAGGGUUUGAGGUGAAAUAUAGCCACACACAUCUCCCAGGGUCACACGUGGGUAGCCUCAAAGGGCAAAUAGGUCUUGAAAUGAUGGUCUCAGGGGAGAAACCACUUCCAUGGCCUGUUCUCGAGCUGUCCAGCUUGGCAGGGUGAGAAAAGUCUGCAAUGAAUGGCCUUCCUGGGUCUUUCCGUCAGAGCAGCCUGGAGUGUGUGCUGAAGGUGAAACAGCCACCCCAGCGCUUCUCCUCCUCCUCCACACUCCUUCGUCCUUUUAGGUCCCUUGCCCUACCUUUGUCCUUGUUAUUGCUGACAGUCAGAGCAUCCAGGAAACAGAGCUGGGAAAGAAAGAAACCAGAAGGGAGGAGAGGGGCCUAAGAUUGAGGGUUUGGAGAACAGAUUAAUGCUAUGACCUUCAGCCGCCUGGGGACAAAAAGCACCUUCCAGAGAGAAGCCAUUGAGCAGUCGCUGACGUUGCAUCCAUC
rnacentral:lncRNA from 1 species